rnacentral:rRNA from 1 species
UACGAAGGUGGCGAGCGUUGUUCGGAAUCACUGGGCUUAAAGAGCAUGUAGGCGGCCGACCAAGCGUCUUGUGAAAUCCCACGGCUCAACCGUGGAACUGCUGGGCGAACUGGUUGGCUUGAGGCAGGUAGGGGUGCGUGGAACUCUUGGUGGAGCGGUGGAAUGCGUAGAUAUCAAGAGGAACGCCGGCGGCGAAAGCGGCGCACUGGGCCUGUCCUGACGCUGAGAUGCGAAGGCUAGGGUAGCAAACGGGAUUAGAUACCCCGGUAGUCCUAGCAGUAAACGAUGCCUACUGGGUCGGAGGUCUCCUGACAGAGUUCCGGCUGUAACAAAAGCGUUAAGUAGGCCGCCUGGGGAGUACGGUCGCAAGGCUAAA